UUGCAGAAAAACAAGCUAAGGCCUCCCACUCAUUCUACAUUAUGCCUUAGCCGAGAUGUCUCACCCCACUCUCUAUGAUGCAACAAGAAGCCCCUGGGGAACGUUUCAGUCCCAGUCUGUACUAUUGUCAUGUGCUCAUCACAGUCUGAACCACCUAAGCUAAAGAUUCUUUUGAGAACAAGGGCUAGCCUGUGGUUUCAUGGCCUUUCUUCCAUUUGGGGUUCUUGCCAAGUGGAAUUUAAAUGACCUCUUAUCAAGAUGGAUAAACCCAAGUUUCCCAGUGCUGGAAUACAGAAAAUGGAUGGACAAGAUGUCUUUUUGUCACUUCCAGCUGGAUCUACCAUGAAAGACGUCAGAGUCCAGGAAGAGAGACUGACUGGGCAACAUGUUAUUCAGAAUUAGAGAAGAUGAUGUGGUGAUGGAAGAAGAGGUCAGAGAGGGAGAUUUGAAGAUGUUGCAGUUCUGGCCUUCAAGAUGGAGUCAGGGGCUAUCUUCAAGAGAGAAGAUCUUGAUCUGUGGCCCAGGCUGCAGUACAGU
rnacentral:lncRNA from 1 species